AUGCUUAACUGGAAGGAGAGAAACAAUGAACUUGAAGAUGGUUUUCCCAGGUUGGCCAUUGCACUUCAGAUGUGCUGACCCCAGCAAUUUCCACAAAUGUGGAAACUCGACCUCAUAAUUUGUGGUAGUGGAGUUCUGCGUUCGCGCUCUCUGCUC